rnacentral:rRNA from 1 species
CUGUAUGAAUGGCUUAACGAGGGCUCCACUGUCUCAAUAAUAAACCGGGUGAAAUUGGAAAAACGGUAAAGAUACCGUAAAGGAAUUCUAAGACGAGAAGACCCCAUUGAGCUUUACUAUUAACUUGUAUUGCCAAAGCAAAUAAAAGGGAACUUUCCCUUGCUUUAUAAUAAAAUUGAGUAGACUAAGUGGGAAAAAAGGGAUGUUAGUCCCCUUUUUAUGGCCGAUUCAUUGGAUUGGGCCCCCAAAAGAUACCUUUUGGGGCCAUUGGCGUAGAGAGGGGGGAUCCGAUUUUCGGAUCGGCGCCGAAGGCGCCCAACCCUACUCGAUUUUUAUGAAAAACCACUCUUUUUAUUAGGAUUACUGGCUAAAACCGUACAAGUAAGGUAGUUUGGUUGGGGCGACCGCCUUCGAAAAAGUAUCGAAGGCGUACAUAAGAUUAAUCCGGGGGGGGUGUCCUUUUUUCACCCCCAAACAAACCGGGGGUAAUGCCCCAAAAAAGAUUAGUUUGACUGAGAGGGCUACAACCCGAACAGGCGCUUUUAGGUUGGGGCCCGGUUUUUACCAAGGGGCCUAAUUGACCAGCGGGCUCCUUUUUAGUCCGGGUCGAACCUAGCGGGUCAUAGUGAUCCGUUGUUAUAUUGUGGGAUAGACAACGAUCAACGAAGAAAAGUUACCAUGG